rnacentral:rRNA from 1 species
UACGUAGGGUGCAAGCGUUGCCCGGAUUUAUUGGGCGUAAAGGGCGCGUAGGCGGCUCUGCACGUUCGUUGUGAAAUCGCCCGGCUCAACUGGGCGGGGUCAGCGGAUACGGCAGAGCUUGAGCAAGCUAGGGGGCAAUGGAAUUCCCGGUGUAGUGGUGGAAUGCGUAGAUAUCUGGAGGAACACCGGUGGCGAAGGCGGCAUCCUGGACCAACACUGACACUGAAAAGCGAAAGCCAGGGGAGCAAACGGG